ensembl:misc_RNA 7SK 7SK RNA
GGAUGUGAGAGCGAUCCAGCUGUGACAUCUGACACCCUGUUGAUCGUCAGUGUUGAUUAGGCUGAUCUGGCUGGUUAUGUGGUUGUCCCCUUCCUCCCUCACUGCCCUAUGUGCAUCCCUCCAGAAGUAUCAUGCUGUUCAAAGAGGACAACCUUCCUUGCUAGAGGAGUAUCGCUUUUUGGUCAAGGAAUAAAGGUGUAGCUGUGAUCCCCUGCUAGAACCUCUAAACAAGCUCUCAAUGCCCAUUGGUAGGAGAACAUGGAAAAUGUGGUCAGAUUAAGUGUAUGGUAUUUGAAUGUGGUUCAACCUGUCUUU